rnacentral:rRNA from 1 species
AAAUGAAUAGACGGGGGCCCGCACAAGCAGUGGAGUAUGUGGUUUAAUUCGAAGCAACGCGAAGAACCUUACCAAGCCUUGACAUCUCCUGCAUAGCAUUGAAAGAUGUGAAGUCCUUCGGGACAGGAAGACAGGUGGUGCAUGGUUGUCGUCAGCUCGUGUCGUGAGAUGUUGGGUUAAGUCCCGCAACGAGCGCAACCCUUACUGAUAGUUACUACGCAAGAGGACUCUAUCGGGACCGCCGUUGACAAAACGGAGGAAGGUGGGGAUGACGUCAAAUCAUCAUGCCCUUUAUGGCUUGGGCUACACACGUACUACAAUGGCCGUUAACAGUAGGGACCGAAGGGGCGACCCGGAGGGAAUCCAUUAAAAGCGGUCUCAGUUCGGAUCGCAGGCUGCAACCCGCCUGCGUGAAGUCGGAAUUGCUAGUAAUCGCGGAUCAGCAUGCCGCGGUGAAUACGUUCCCGGGCCUUGUACACACCGCCCGU